rnacentral:rRNA from 1 species
GACGAACGCUGGCGGCGUGCCUAAUACAUGCAAGUUGAGCGCUGAAGGUUGGUACUUGUACCAACUGGAUGAGCAGCGAACGGGUGAGUAACGCGUGGGGAAUCUGCCUUUGAGCGGGGGACAACAUUUGGAAACGAAUGCUAAUACCGCAUAAAAACUUUAAACACAAGUUUUAAGUUUGAAAGAUGCAAUUGCCUCACUCAAAGAUGAUCCCGCGUUGUAUUAGCUAGUUGGUGAGGUAAAGGCUCACCAAGGCGAUGAUACAUAGCCGACCUGAGAGGGUGAUCGGCCACAUUGGGACUGAGACACGGCCCAAACUCCUACGGGAGGCAGCAGUAGGGAAUCUUCGGCAAUGGACGAAAGUCUGACCGAGCAACGCCGCGUGAGUGAAGAAGGUUUUCGGAUCGUAAAACUCUGUUGGUAGAGAAGAACGUUGGUGAGAGUGGAAAGCUCAUCAAGUGACGGUAACUACCCAGAAAGGGACGGCUAACUACGU